AUUGAACGCUGGCGGCAUGCCUUACACAUGCAAGUCGAACGGCAGCACGGGUGCUUGCACCUGGUGGCGAGUGGCGAACGGGUGAGUAAUACAUCGGAACGUACCUUAUCGUGGGGGAUAACGCAGCGAAAGUUGCGCUAAUACCGCAUACGCCCUGAGGGGGUAAGCGGGGGACCGUAAGGCCUCGCGCGAUUAGAGCGGCCGAUGUCUGAUUAGCUUGUUGGUGGGGUAAAAGCUCACCAAGGCGAUGAUCAGUAGCUGGUCUGAGAGGACGAUCAGCCACACUGGGGCUGAGACACGGACCAGACUCCUACGGGAGGCAGCAGUGGGGAAUUUUGGACAAUGGGGGCAACCCUGAUCCAGCAAUGCCGCGUGAGUGAAGAAGGCCUUCGGGUGGUAAAGCGCUUUUGUCAGGGAAGAAAGAGCAGCUCUAACACAGUCUGCGAAUGACGGUACCUGAAGAAUAAGCACCGGCUAACUACGUG
rnacentral:rRNA from 1 species